rnacentral:rRNA from 1 species
ACGCUCGACACCUACUGUAGGCAGCAGUGGGGAAUAUUGCACAAUGGGGGAAACCCUGAUGCAGCGACGCCGCGUGGAGGAAGAAGGUCUUCGGAUUGUAAACUCCUGUUGUUGGGGAAAAAGAGGAUGGUACCCAACAAGGAAGUGACGGCUAACUACGUGCCAGCAGCCGCGGUAAUCUGAGCGGGCUGGCAAGGC